UACCUGCAGCUCAAGUGGUGGCCGCUAUUAUUGGGCCUAAAACGUUAGUAGCCGGUUUAGUAAAUGCCUGGGUAAAUCGUGCCGCUCAACGGUACGAAUUCCGGGUAGACUGCUAAGCUUGAGACCGGGAGAAGUUAGAGGUACUCUUGGGGUAGAGGUGAAAUUCUGUAAUCCUAGGGGGACCACCAGUGGCGAAGGCGUCUAACUAGAACGGGUCUGACGGUGAGGGACGAAGCCCUGGGGCGCAAACCGGAUUAGAUACCCGGGUAGUCCAGGGUGUAAACGCUGCUUGCUUGAUGUUGGUUGGGCUCCGAGCCCAAUCAGUGUCGGAGAGAAGUUGUUAAGCAAGCUGCCUGGGAAGUACGGUCGCAAGACUGAAACUUAAAGGAAUUGGCGGGGAGCACAGCAACGGGUGGAGCGUGCGGUUU
rnacentral:rRNA from 1 species